GCAGUCGAACGCGUUGGCCCAAUUGAUUGAUGGUGCUUGCACCUGAUUGAUUUUGGUCGCCAACGAGUGGCGGACGGGUGAGUAACACGUAGGUAACCUGCCCAGAAGCGGGGGACAACAUUUGGAAACAGAUGCUAAUACCGCAUAACAGCGUUGUUCGCAUGAACAACGCUUAAAAGAUGGCUUCUCGCUAUCACUUCUGGAUGGACCUGCGGUGCAUUAGCUUGUUGGUGGGGUAACGGCCUACCAAGGCGAUGAUGCAUAGCCGAGUUGAGAGACUGAUCGGCCACAAUGGGACUGAGACACGGCCCAUACUCCUACGGGAGGCAGCAGUAGGGAAUCUUCCACAAUGGGCGCAAGCCUGAUGGAGCAACACCGCGUGAGUGAAGAAGGGUUUCGGCUCGUAAAGCUCUGUUGUUAAAGAAGAACACGUAUGAGAGUAACUGUUCAUACGUUGACGGUAUUUAACCAGAAAGUCACGGCUAACUACGUGCCAGCAGCCGCGGUAAUACGUAGGUGGCAAGCGUUAUCCGGAUUUAUUGGGCGUAAAGAGAGUGCAGGCGGUUUUCUAAGUCUGAUGUGAAAGCCUUCGGCUUAACCGGAGAAGUGCAUCGGAAACUGGAUAACUUGAGUGCAGAAGAGGGUAGUGGAACUCCAUGUGUAGCGGUGGAAUGCGUAGAUAUAUGGAAGAACACCAGUGGCGAAGGCGGCUACCUGGUCUGCAACUGACGCUGAGACUCGAAAGCAUGGGUAGCGAACAGGAUUAGAUACCCUGGUAGUCCAUGCCGUAAACGAUGAGUGCUAGGUGUUGGAGGGUUUCCGCCCUUCAGUGCCGGAGCUAACGCAUUAAGCACUCCGCCUGGGGAGUACGACCGCAAGGUUGAAACUCAAAGGAAUUGACGGGGGCCCGCACAAGCGGUGGAGCAUGUGGUUUAAUUCGAAGCUACGCGAAGAACCUUACCAGGUCUUGACAUCUUGCGCCAACCCUAGAGAUAGGGCGUUUCCUUCGGGAACGCAAUGACAGGUGGUGCAUGGUCGUCGUCAGCUCGUGUCGUGAGAUGUUGGGUUAAGUCCCGCAACGAGCGCAACCCUUGUUACUAGUUGCCAGCAUUAAGUUGGGCACUCUAGUGAGACUGCCGGUGACAAACCGGAGGAAGGUGGGGACGACGUCAGAUCAUCAUGCCCCUUAUGACCUGGGCUACACACGUGCUACAAUGGACGGUACAACGAGUCGCGAACUCGCGAGGGCAAGCAAAUCUCUUAAAACCGUUCUCAGUUCGGACUGCAGGCUGCAACUCGCCUGCACGAAGUCGGAAUCGCUAGUAAUCGCGGAUCAGCAUGCCGCGGUGAAUACGUUCCCGGGCCUUGUACACACCGCCCGUCACACCAUGAGAGUUUGUAACACCCAAAGUCGGUGGGGUAACCUUUAGGAGCCAGCCGCCUAA
rnacentral:rRNA from 1 species